CAGUCGCCGCGGGAAUACGUAGGGUGCAAGCGUUAAUCAGAAUUACUGGGCGUAAGGCGUGCGCAGGCGGUUUGUUAAGACGGAUGUGAGAUCCCCGGGCUCAACCUGGGAACUGCAUUCGUGACUGGCAAGCUAGAGUACGGCAGAGGGGGGUGGAAUUCCACGUGUAGCAGUGAAAUGCGUAGAGAUGUGGAGGAACACCGAUGGCGAAGGCAGCCCCCUGGGCCAAUACUGACGCUCAUGCACGAAAGCGUGGGGAGCAAACAGGAUUAGAUACCCCCGUAGUCCCUGUCUCUUAUAC
rnacentral:rRNA from 1 species